GAUGAACGCUGGCGGCGUGCCUAAUACAUGCAAGUCGAGCGAACGGACGCGAAGCUUGCUUCUCUGAUGUUAGCGGCGGACGGGUGAGUAACACGUGGAUAACCUACCUAUCAGACUGGGAUAACUUCGGGAAACCGGAGCUAAUACCGGAUAAUAUUUUGAACCGCAUGGUUCAAAAGUGAAAGACGGUCUUGCUGUCACUUAUAGAUGGAUCCGCGCUGCAUUAGCUAGUUGGUAAGGUAACGGCUUACCAAGGCAGCGAUGCAUAGCCGACCUGAGAGGGUGAUCGGCCACACUGGAACUGAGACACGGUCCAGACUCCUACGGGAGGCAGCAGUAGGGAAUCUUCCGCAAUGGGCGAAAGCCUGACGGAGCAACGCCGCGUGAGUGAUGAAGGUGUUCGGAUCGUAAAACUCUGUUAUUAGGGAAGAACAAAUGUGUAAGUAACUGUGCACAUCUUGACGGUACCUAAUCAGAAAGCCACGGCUAACUACGUG
rnacentral:rRNA from 1 species